rnacentral:tRNA from 1 species
UCCUUGUUAGCUCAGUUGGUAGAGCGUUCGGCUUUUA